rnacentral:rRNA from 1 species
UUCUAUUAGAAAUUAUUAAUAGUAAAAUCUGCUCCAUGUCUAAUAAAUAGCCGCAAUUUGUGCUAAGGUAGCAUAAUCAUUUGUCUUUUAAAUGAAGACUAGAACAAAAGAUUUAACAUUUUCAGUUCAUUUUCCUAACUUAAAUCAUUAAAUUUAUCCUAAAUGUAAAAAGACAUUUAUAUAAAAGAAAGACGAUAAGACCCUAUUGAACUUAACUGCAGUUAAACUGGGGCAGUAAAUUAAUUAUUAUUUUAAUAAAAUUUUUUUUAUAAAUAUCUAAUAAAAUUAAAUAAUUCAGUUACCAUAGGGAUAACAGCGUAAUAAUCUUCUAAAGAUCUUAUUUAAAACAUAGAUUACGACCUCGAUGUUGAAUUAAUAACCUAAUUAAGGCAAAACUUAAAAAAGGAAGUCUGUUCGACUUUUAAAAAAUUACAUGAUUUGAGUUCAGACCGGUGUAAGCCAGGUCGGUUUCUAUCUUCUAAAAAAUUUUUUACAGUACGAAAGGACCUAAAAAUCUAAUA